GCUAGGCAUGGUGGCGCGUGCCUGUAAUCCCAGCUACUUGGGAGGCUGAGGCGGGAGAAUUGCCUGAGCCCAGGAGGCGGAGGUUGCGGUGAGCCGAGAUUGCGCCAUUGCACUCCAGCCUGGGUAACAAGAGCGAAACUCCAUCUCAAAAAAAAAAAAAAAAAGAAGAAGAAGAAUACGGUUUGUUUAAAAGAUGAUGAGAGAAUCAGUAGUUUUAUUUUAUUGUUUUUGAGAUGGAGUCUCACUGUGUUGCCAGGCUGGAGUGCAGUGGCAUGAUCUCAGCUCACUGCAACCUCCGACUCCCUGGUGUAAGGGACUCUCCUGCCUCAG
ensembl:misc_RNA Metazoa_SRP Metazoan signal recognition particle RNA